rnacentral:tRNA from 1 species
GCCCGCUUGGCCUAAUGGAAAGGCGCUAGCCUCCUAAGCUAGAGAUUGCGGGUUCGAGUCCCGCAGUGGGUA